CUGGGAUGGGGAGUCCUAGGGUGGAGAUCCGGGUCCCGCGCACCCGCUCCGGCCUCCCGGAGGUGGCACCACCUUUCUCCGCGCCGAAGGGCGAGGGUUCCUGUAGCUAUCGGAGCAUCUGUGCGAGAGCAGCGCCCACCCGUGAAGCGGGGUCCAUUUAGUCAGCGCCGGGUGCCCAGACACCUUUGAGGCCCGCGGUCAUGGUUGAAGUUAUUCUCGGUGGCUAUGAAAACAUAAGAAGGUAUUCCUCAGAGGCCAGAAGAGAGUGUCAUAUCCCCUAAAGCUGGAGUUAGAGACAUGGUGCCUGACCAUGGUGCUCUAACAUACUGGGACUAUGAAGGAUGAUCAAGAGAACUGCAGACUUGCCUACUGGGACGCCAUCAGACUGUGGGAUCAGCAACACCACAUCCCUACUUCCAUCUUUCUUGCUAGAAACCGCAUGCCAGUGUGACCCGUCACCACUGUCAUCCUUUUGAAAACACACGAACAAGCUCUUCUUGAACAGACUGGAAUCUUACAGCGUUCCCCUUUCUUCUUGAACAAUAUUUUCAG